rnacentral:rRNA from 1 species
UACGUAGGUCCCGAGCGUUGUCCGGAUUUAUUGGGCGUAAAGCGAGCGCAGGUGGUUUAUUAAGUCUGGUGUAAAAGGCAGUGGCUCAACCAUUGUAUGCAUUGGAAACUGGUAGACUUGAGUGCAGGAGAGGAGAGUGGAAUUCCAUGUGCAGCGGUGAAAUGCGUAGAUAUAUGGAGAAACACCGGUGGCGAAAGCGGCUCUCUGGCCUGUAACUGACACUGAGGCUCGAAAGCGUGGGGAGCAAACAGG